rnacentral:rRNA from 1 species
AGUGAACGCUGGCGGUAGGCCUAACACAUGCAAGUCGAACGGCAGCACAGUAAGAGCUUGCUCUUACGGGUGGCGAGUGGCGGACGGGUGAGGAAUACAUCGGAAUCUACUUUUUCGUGGGGGAUAACGUAGGGAAACUUACGCUAAUACCGCAUACGACCUACGGGUGAAAGCAGGGGAUCUUCGGACCUUGCGCGAUUGAAUGAGCCGAUGUCGGAUUAGCUAGUUGGCGGGGUAAAGGCCCACCAAGGCGACGAUCCGUAGCUGGUCUGAGAGGAUGAUCAGCCACACUGGAACUGAGACACGGUCCAGAAUACUACGGGAGGCAGCAGUGGGGAAUAUUGGACAAUGGGCGCAAGCCUGAUCCAGCCAUAACGCGUGGGUGAAGAAGGCCUUCGGGUUGUAAAGCCAUUUUGUUGGGAAAGAAAAGCAGCAGGUUAAUACCCCGCUGUUCUGACGGUACCCAAAGAAUAAGCACCGGCUAACUUCGUG